GGGCGCGGCACGGGGUCUGCCCUCCGCCGGGAUUCUCCAUUAGGGCUUUGGCCCGAAGCGGCGGCUUCGGAGGGGCGGGCGGGUUCUAGCCCCCCGGCUGGCCGCGCGCCCUCGCCUCCCAAUUCCAGGAGCAGGGUGGGGGCUCGAGGCGGCGGCCGGCGGCUCCGCUCGCGCCUGGACGUCUGGGCGCGGGGCCAGGGCAGGCGGCGGCGGCGGCGUGGGGCCGCGGAUACCACGGAGGGCGGCGGCCUGGGCCGGCUGAGCCAUGGCGGCCCCGGAGCCGGCGCCGAGGCGGGGCCGGGAGCGGGAGCGGGAGGAUGAGAGCGAGGACGAGAGCGACAUCCUGGAGGAGAGCCCGUGCGGCCGCUGGCAGAAGCGGCGAGAGCAGGUGAACCAGGGGAACAUGCCAGGGGUCCAGAGCACCUUCCUGGCCAUGGACACAGAGGAGGGGGUGGAGGUGGUGUGGAAUGAGUUGCACUUCGGGGAUAGGAAGGCCUUCGCGGCCCAUGAGGAGAAGAUCCAGACCAUGUUUGAGCAGCUGGUGCUGGUAGACCACCCCAACAUUGUCAAGCUGCACAAAUACUGGCUGGAUGCCUCAGAAGCCCGGGCGCGGGUCAUCUUCAUCACAGAGUACGUGUCAUCGGGCAGUCUCAAGCAGUUCCUCAAAAAGACCAAGAAAAACCACAAGGCCAUGAACGCGCGGGCCUGGAAGCGCUGGUGCACGCAGAUCCUGUCUGCGCUCAGCUUUCUACACGCCUGCAGUCCCCCCAUCAUCCACGGGAACCUGACCAGUGAUACCAUCUUCAUACAGCACAAUGGCCUCAUCAAGAUUGGCUCUGUGUGGCACCGCAUCUUCUCCAAUGCGCUCCCGGACGAUCUCCGAAGCCCGAUCCGUGCCGAGCGUGAGGAGCUACGGAACCUGCACUUUUUCCCGCCAGAGUAUGGUGAGGUUGCUGAUGGCACUGCCGUGGACAUCUUCUCCUUUGGCAUGUGUGCCCUGGAGAUGGCUGUGCUGGAGAUCCAAGCCAAUGGGGACACCCGGGUCACAGAAGAGGCCAUAACUCGUGCCAGGCACUCACUGAGCGACCCCAACAUGCGGAAUCAGGUCCCAGCUUGGCUGCUAACAGUAUACCUCUCCCUACGCCCGUUCCUGCAAGAAGACUCCCGAGUUCAUCCUCUCCUGCCUGGCCCGGGACCCCAGCCAUCGGCCCUCUGCCCACAACCUCCUCUUCCACCGCGUACUCUUCGAAGUGCACUCGCUGAAGCUCCUGGCAGCUCACUGCUUCAUCCAGCACCAAUGACCCUGAGUGCUCCUGCGGCCUGCAGACCUCAUGCCCGAGAAUGUGGUGGAGGAAAAAACCAAGGCAGUGGACCUGCACGCAGUCCUGGCAGAGAUCCCCCGGCCGCCCCGGCCCCCGCUGCAGUGGCGGUACUCGGAGGUCUCCUGCUUGGAGCUCGACAAAUUCCUGGAGGAUGUCAGGAAUGGGAUCUACCCGCUGAUGAACUUUGCGGCGGCUCGGCCCCUGGGGCUGCCCCGUGUGCUGGCCCCACCCCCUGAGGAGGCCCAGAAGGCCAAGACCCCGACGCCAGAACCUUUUGACUCGGAGACCAGGAAGGUGAUCCAGAUGCAGUGCAACCUGGAGAGGAGCGAGGACAAGGCCCGCUGGCAUCUUACUCUGCUUCUGGUGCUGGAGGACCGGCUGCACCGGCAGCUCACUUAUGACCUGCUCCCAACCGACAGUGCCCAGGACCUUGCCACCGAGCUGGUACACUAUGGCUUCGUUCACGAGGAUGACCGGACCAAGCUGGCUGCCUUCCUGGAAAGCACCUUCCUCAAGUACCUCGGAGCUCAGCCGUGACCUCGCACCCCAGCCCCCAGGGACCAGCCCUGGCCACCCACAUGGGGAAACUCAGCAUUGGUCCAGGGCUCAGGGGACCAGGGGCUGACCUCUGCUUACACGCUUGGGGCUGAUGACCAAAUGCCUGCUAGUGAGGAACUUCUGCCUUCCACAGCUUUCAAGGAGGCCCUGGAGUGGGGUGGGGGGUGGGGGGUGGGGGGUGGGGGGUGGGUGGGUUUGGGGCCCAUCAGGGGUGAAGGAGCCUGGGUUGGGAGUCAGGGGAGUAGUUAGGCCCCACAUGUCCUUAGGAUCAGGAUUCCCCCACCUAGCCAGCUUCCACAACUCGCAGUCCCUUCCCGUAUCGUCUAUUUCCUGGCUAAGAGUUCUCCCCCACCCCAAGAUAUCUGGUCAGUGAUUGAGCCUUCAGCAUGGGGGAGGCUGCCCUGCAGGGAGCCAGAGUGUGGGGGUGGGGAAUCAGUCCUGGACAGAUGCCUGCCCAGGGAAAUGCUCCAGACCCUGUUGGAACCACAGACCCACACCGGGAACCCCCACAUUAAGCCAGUGGUACCAUACCUGCAAGCAUCAGGCACGAUGCUGGGCACUAGGCAGGUCCACGACCUGGCAGGAGAAGCAGAUGGCAGAGACACUUCAAGAGUCCCCAGCCUGACACGGCUCCUGCACAGCCCUCCAGCCCCUGCCCAGUGCAGACCCAUCUUGGAGCCCUUUGCUGACUUUCCACUGCUCUGGGACAGGGACCUGCCACCCCCUCUGCAGACUGUUCUGGCCCCUGCAGCCCUCUCCAUAGGGCUAUUUUCUCUCCUACGUUCCUGGGCCUGGAGGGGUUGGGUUUAGGCAUCCUCCUUGCUCCUCGAUGUGCCUCCUCUCAAAUUCACCACCCCCCAUGUAACAUCACUCACCCCCUUCUGUGGCAGCUGCCUCCCAAGUCCUGAGGAUAUCAGCCCCUGACUCCCUGUCUCUCCCACUCAACUCCCUCCCACCCCUCAUUGCCCUAGCCUCUUUUCUCCUGGACCACCUCCCCUCCAUCUUCAAAUUGAGUUAAACGUUCUUCAGUAUUUUAAAUUGCAUGUAUAAACUUAGUGCAUUCAGGUUUCUUUUGAAGUAUUUCUUAUUGUCAAACCAGGAAAGCUCACCACUGUGUUACUUCUCUUGUUGCUAUAAGAAUUUACCACAAACUUAGUGGCUUAAAACACCACAAAUUUAUUGUAGUUCUGCAGGUCAAAAAUCUGGUACAGGUCUCACCAGACUAAACUCAAGGUGUUAGCAAGGCUGCAUUCCUUUCUGGAGGUUCUAGGUGAGCCUAGAACUAUUUCCUAGGUUUCCAUAUUCUACUCCUUCAGGUUGUUGGCCUGCAGGUGUCAGGCAUGGCAUGGGCAUGGGCACUGGCCAAGAAUUAAUUUCCUUGCAACAGUAGGGCCAAGAUCCCCAUCUUCUUGCCUGCUAUAAACUGAAGGUCAUUUUUGGCUUCUACAGGCACCGCCAUUCUUUGGCUCAUGUACUCAUCCUCUAUCUUCAAAGCCAACAACAGCCGGUAGAGUCUUUCUCAUGAACCAUUUGUGGUUUUCUGCAGCCAGGAAAGCUUCAUGUAAUUAGGUUGGGUCCACCUGAAUAAUCCAUCGCAAGUUCCUUAAUCAUAUCUACAAAAUCCCUUUUGCCAUAUAAAGUAACAUUCACAGGUUCUGGGGGUUAGGGCAUGGACAUCCUGGAGAGAGGGUAUCAUUUUUCCACCUACUACAUUACCCUAACCAAAAGCCAAAACAAAAUUACCAAGGUGUAUCAAAUAAAUCAAACGUACAAACAUAAUGAAUCUCAAGUUGUCUUAAACAUCUCGAUACUCUACAAAGUUACUCUUUCAACUUAAAAUAACAAAUCUGCAAUAACAUACAAGUCUAGUUGGAAAUCCUGAUGCUAUCUUAAACAAUUUGAGUGUCAAAUGCAUAAUAGAUUGUACCCAUGAUUAAACUGAACUCAAAAGUA